AGAGUUUGAUCCUGGCUCAGGAUGAACGCUGGCGGCGUGCCUAACACAUGCAAGUCGAACGAGAAGCCGGUUUCGAUCGGUGGAAAGUGGCGCACGGGUGAGUAACACGUAGCUAACCUGCCCCCAAGAGCGGGAUAACGCACCGAAAGGUGUGCUAAUACCGCAUAAGCUCACGGACAGUAGAGGUUUGUGAGAAAAGCCUUGGCGCUUGGGGAUGGGGCUGCGGCCCAUCAGCUAGUUGGUGAGGUAACGGCUUACCAAGGCAACGACGGGUAGGGGGCCUGAGAGGGUGGCCCCUCACACUGGGACUGAGACACGGCCCAGACUCCUACGGGAGGCAGCAGUGAGGAAUAUUGCGCAAUGGGCGAAAGCCUGACGCAGCGACGCCGCGUGGGUGAUGAAGGGCGAUAGCUCGUAAAACCCUUUUCUGUGUGACGAGGAAGGACGGUAGCACAGGAAUAAGUGUCGGCUAACUACGUGCCAGCAGCCGCGGUAAAACGUAGGACACGAGCGUUAUCCGGAAUUACUGGGCGUAAAGGGCGUGCAGGCGGCGAGGUAAGUGAGGCGUGAAAGCUCCCGGCUAAACCGGGAGAGGUCGUCUGAGACUGCCUGGCUAGAGUGUGGUA
rnacentral:rRNA from 1 species